CAGCCGCCGCGGUAAUUCGAAGGGGGCUAGCGUUGUUCGGAUUUACUGGGCGUAAAGCGCACGUAGGCGGAUCGAUCAGUCAGGGGUGAAAUCCCAGAGCUCAACUCUGGAACUGCCUUUGAUACUGUCGAUCUGGAGUAUGGAAGAGGUGAGUGGAAUUCCGAGUGUAGAGGUGAAAUUCGUAGAUAUUCGGAGGAACACCAGUGGCGAAGGCGGCUCACUGGUCCAUUACUGACGCUAAGGCACGAAAGCGUGGGGAGCAAACAGGAUUAGAACCCCAGUAGUCCAUGUCUCUUAUACA
rnacentral:rRNA from 1 species